AAAAAAUUAGUUAAUAUAUAACAUUAGUAUGUCAAACUAAAAUUAUUAAAUUAUUUUAAUAUUUUUUA
rnacentral:tRNA from 1 species